CUAACUGUCUGCGUAGUAGACU
rnacentral:siRNA from 1 species